rnacentral:sRNA from 1 species
CUUAGUAGGCUACCUAUCGCAAUACUUAGCAGUGUUUAUGGCGGUGGCUGAGCUCUAUAGAAGGGAGUGUUGCUUAUGUUCAUCCUAGGAAAGGGACUUCCGCCAUGACUGUGUAUCAGGCGUUGACAUUGGCAAUUGCCUUUGCGACCUUGAUCAUCACCAUUGAUCGACA